rnacentral:rRNA from 1 species
GGGGGGACGCAGUAGGAUAGGCGAAGCGUGCGAUUGGAUUGCACGUCUAAGCAGUAAGGCUGAGUAUUAGGCAAAUCCGGUACUCGUUAAGGCUGAGCUGUGAUGGGGAGAAGACAUUGUGUCUUCGAGUCGUUGAUUUCACACUGCCGAGAAAAGCCUCUAGAUAGAAAAUAGGUGCCCGUACCGCAAACCGACACAGGUAGUCAAGAUGAGAAUUCUAAGGUGAGCGAGCGAACUCUCGUUAAGGAACUCGGCAAAAUGACCCCGUAACUUCGGGAGAAGGGGUGCUCUUUAGGGUUAACGCCCAGAAGAGCCGCAGUGAAUAGGCCCAAGCGACUGUUUAUCAAAAACACAGGUCUCUGCUAAACCGUAAGGUGAUGUAUAGGGGCUGACGCCUGCCCGGUGCUGGAAGGUUAAGAGGAGUGGUUAGCUUCUGCGAAGCUACGAAUCGAAGCCCCAGUAAACGGCGGCCGUAACUAUAACGGUCCUAAGGUAGCGAAAUUCCUUGUCGGGUAAGUUCCGACCCGCACGAAAGGCGUAACGAUUUGGGCACUGUCUCAACGAGAGACUCGGUGAAAUCAUAGUACCUGUGAAGAUGCAGGUUACCCGCGACAGGACGGAAAGACCCCGUGGAGCUUUACUGUAGCCUGAUAUUGAAAUUCGGCACAGCUUGUACAGGAUAGGUAGGAGCCUUUGAAACGUGAGCGCUAGCUUACGUGGAGGCGCUGGUGGGAUACUACCCUAGCUGUGUUGGCUUUCUAACCCGCACCACUUAUCGUGGUGGGAGACAGUGUCAGGCGGGCAGUUUGACUGGGGCGGUCGCCUCCUAAAAGGUAACGGAGGCGCUCAAAGGUUCCCUCAGAAUGGUUGGAAAUCAUUCAUAGAGUGUAAAGGCAUAAGGGAGCUUGACUGCGAGACCUACAAGUCGAGCAGGGUCGAAAGACGGACUUAGUGAUCCGGUGGUUCCGCAUGGAAGGGCCAUCGCUCAACGGAUAAAAGCUACCCCGGGGAUAACAGGCUUAUCUCCCCCAAGAGUUCACAUCGACGGGGAGGUUUGGCACCUCGAUGUCGGCUCAUCGCAUCCUGGGGCUGUAGUCGGUCCCAAGGGUUGGGCUGUUCGCCCAUUAAAGCGGUACGCGAGCUGGGUUCAGAACGUCGUGAGACAGUUCGGUCCCUAUCCGUCGUGGGCGUAGGAAAUUUGAGAGGAGCUGUCCUUAGUACGAGAGGACUGGGAUGGACAUACCUCUGGUGUACCAGUUGUCGUGCCAACGGCAUAGCUGGGUAGCUAUGUGUGGACGGGAUAAGUGCUGAAAGCAUCUAAGCAUGAAGCCCCCCUCAAGAUGAGAUUUCCCAACUUCGGUUAUAAGAUCCCUCAAAGAUGAUGAGGUUAAUAGGUUCGAGGUGGAAGCAUGGUGACAUGUGGAGCUGACGAAUACUAAUCGAUCGAAGACUUAAUCAAAA